AAGUCGUAACAAGGUCUCCGUUGGUGAACCAGCGGAGGGAUCAUUACAGAGUUGCAAAACUCCCUAAACCAUUGUGAACGUUACCUUUACCGUUGCUUCGGCGGGCGGCCCGGGUCCUGCCCGGCGCCCCUCGGCCCCUCGCGGGCGCCCGCCGGAGGUAAACCAAACCAUUGCAUUGUAUGGCCUCUCUGAGUCUUCUGUACUGGAUAAGUCAAAACUUUCAACAACGGAUCUCUUGGUUCUGGCAUCGAUGAAGAACGCAGCGAAAUGCGAUAAGUAAUGUGAAUUGCAGAAUUCAGUGAAUCAUCGGAUCUUUGAACGCAUAUUGCGCUCUUUGGUAUUCCGAAGAGCAUGCUUGUUUGAGUAUCAGUAAACACCUCAAAGCUUUUGGAUUUUUUUUUUUGAAAGUUUUGGACUUGAGCAAUCCCAACACCAAUCUUUUUCAGAUCGGCGGCGGGUUGCUUGAAAUGCAGGUGCAGCUGGACAUUCUCCUGAGCUAAAAGCAUAUUCAUUUAGUCCCGUCAAACGGAUUAUUACUUUUGCUGCAGCUAACAUAAAGGGAGUUUGACCGCAUUGGCUGACUGAUGCAGGAUUUUACAAGGGUCGGCAACGAUUCUUGUUAAACUCGAUCUCAAAUCAAGUAAGACUACCCGCUGAACUUAA
rnacentral:rRNA from 1 species